rnacentral:rRNA from 1 species
UACGUAGGGGGCAAGCGUUGUCCGGAUUUAUUGGGCGUAAAGAGCGUGUAGGCGGCCAGGUAGGUCUGCUGUGAAAACUCGAGGCUUAACCUCGAGCUGUCGGCGGAAACCAUCUGGCUAGAGUAUGGUAGAGGGAAGAGGAAUUUCCGGUGUAGCGGUGAAAUGCAUAGAUAUCGGAAGGAACAUCAGUGGCGAAGGCGACUUCCUGGACUGAUACUGACACUGAGGUGCGAAAGCGUGGGGAGCAAACAGG